UGCCUCUCCCCCCACAGCUGACGUCCAGCCAUUCAGCCUGCAGCUGGGCCUUCCCACAGGGCCUUCUGCUGAGCAUAAGCCUUAGCAACUUUAACAGUUAUAACCCCAUAUCCCGCAUUCAGACUGUAAAUUGUACCACCUAGUAGCUUGAGAAUUUUGUACAGGAAUUUCCUUAGGACUCCUGGGCAAAUGUCACCUGCUCCAGACAAUUUUAUUACUGUUUUAGUGAUCUAUUUUAAGAACUUUUCUCCUGACUUUUCAAUUUGAAAAUGUCAUUCUGCUGAAAAAAAAAAAAAAAAAAAAAAAAAAAAGAGUCCUCUGUAAUUUUCUCAAUAAUGAAUCACAGGACAAUGCACUGGUUUAUGUAAUCGCCCCAUGGAUUCCUUGGAGAGUACCUGAGUAAUGACAGAUAGACAAAAUAGUGUUCACAGCCACCAGUGGUUCUUGGCUCUGUGAGAACUCUCCAAGCAAGAAGUAAUUUAAAUCCAAUAAUAGGAAACACAGAGAAGAUACUGAGGUACUCCUCUUGAAGAUAGAUGGAAUUCCUUAAAAUCGGUAUCUCACUGUCUGUUCUGGCUAUCCAGUUAGAUUCUUCUGUUUUUUUCUGCUUAUACUUAAGAUGGAAAUAAUGGCAAGAGAAAUUCCUUGGUGACAAUUUGUGUGCUUUCAUCUGGAGCCACUUGUUACAGAGGAUGAGACAACUUUUUUAAAUCUCAG
rnacentral:lncRNA from 1 species